UUGCUUUUGAGAGGCGGAUUCUGAUUGGACAGCGCAAAGCCGCAAUAUUCUGUAGAGUGUAUGGGGGCCGCUGAUUGGCUCCCACGGAUCUGCAAUGCGUCAAACCACGGCGCGGCAACGGUAGCAGGGGGAGCGUCGCCACCGCUACAGCGUACAACAUGCCCUGUGUUGGAAGUGAUACAGAGAGAAGGCAGUGUCAGCGCUCCAGCAGUAGAUGUUUGUGUGAGCUCUUUGCCAUCUCACCAGGAAGUGGAUGUACAUCCUCCAGACUAAAGGACAGUGAGCGCCCAUCACUGUCGCUAUGGCGCCUUCAAACAGUCCACGGAUACGAUUGCUGAGGCCGUUCUCUGGCAGGAUGGGCAAGACAUCAUCAUGGCAACGAGACCUACAGAGAUCAUAGAAAAUGUGAAAGAAAAGUUUUGUCAGUGAUCUGUAAGAUAAUGUAGAUAGUGGGAAUUUUGAAAGAGUAGUUGUGAAAUUUUAAGAUAAGAUAAUCCUUUAUUGUCCCCCAUACCAGGGGAAAUUCACAUUGUUACAGCAAGCAUAUUUAGCAAAUAAACAUAGUACUACUAAUAAAAUAGUAAUAAUAUUAACAAUAUGUACAAGGAUGAGAAAUGAAAAUGAAUAAAUACAGUAUUGACAAACUGAAAACAACACAAUAUAAAGUGGCUUGAAAAAUAAGUUUAAAAAGUGCAAAGAUGCAGCAGUACAAGAAUUUUUGUGCAAAUUUUAUUGUUUGGGUUUCUUGGCUUAUCAUGCAAAAAGGAAACAGUUGUUGUUGUUGUGAGCACUCACUCAUCAUCAUAAUUUGCCAUCUUACCUCUGAGCAGCAUCCACCAGCUGCUUCCUUUGUUGUUCAGCAACAAUAGCAAAGAGGCGUGGCACCACACUGCUGGUGUCCCUGGUUACGGAGUGAAAAAACCGACGGGCUCGGCCGGCGCUAUGGUAACGCUUCUCCACCUGAAACCAGGUUGCAUCAAGGUUACUGUGACUCAACAGAUGAAGAGUGAGGAGAAAGAGUUUUCUGCUCCCCUUCUGUUCUCUACAUGUUCCUGGUUUUAAAAGAACCCUUCACUGUGAGAAACAACAACUUCCAGGAGGCACAUGAAGACCGUAAUACUAAGGUUAAAACGUACUGAUUCAGCAAGUAGCAGCAAAAACCACACCUAGAGAAGGAGCAAGUAACUGUCCAAGACAAUUAAAAAUGUAUUUUGGUAUUUUAUGAGUCUUUUUAAAUCAAAACCUUCCUGUUUAAAAUGGCUUUUCAUACCUAGCAGCAUGGUGACAUUUUAUUACUUUUAUUUCUUUUGGCUGUAUAUUUUAGUGCUGUUUUAUCGCUGUUUAUUUUAUUGUUUUAUUGUAUAUUUUACGGGCUGCACAGUGGGGUGGUGGUUAGCACUUUGGGCUUGCAGCUAGAAGAUCCCCAGGUUCGCCGCCUUCCUGGGUUCUUUCUGCAUGGGGUUUCUAUGGUCUCCCUGUGCAUGUGUGGGUUUCCUCCCACAGUCCAAAAAUGUGCUGUGGUUAAUUGAUUAUUCUAAAUUUGCCUGUAGGUGUGAUUGUUUGUCCUGUUUUAAGUUACUGUAUUGUCUUGUCUUUCACUGUGAAGCUCUUUGGUCACCCUUUGGGCUGUUGUAAAGGGCUAUACAAAUAAAGUUUGAUUGAUUGACUUUCA